GAACGCACAUUGCGCCCCUUGGUAUUCCAUGGGGCAUGCCUGUUCGAGCGUCAUUUGUACUCUCAAGCUAUGCUUGGUGUUGGGUGUUUGUCUUUGCGCAGCCUAGACUCGCCUUAAAUAUAUUGGCAGCCGGUAUACUGGUUUGAAGCGCAGCACAAUUGCCUUUUAAGCCUGUUUUAUCAGCACCCAUACAGAUUAUCAACACUUUUGACCUCGGAUCAGGUAGGGAUACCCGCUGAACUUA
rnacentral:misc_RNA from 1 species